rnacentral:piRNA from 1 species
CCCAACUCAACUCCUGCAGUUUCAGCCGUCC